rnacentral:rRNA from 1 species
UACGGAGGGAGCUAGCGUUGUUCGGAAUCACUGGGCGUAAAGGGCGCGUAGGCGGCCUGAUAAGUAGGGGGUGAAAUCCUGCGGCUUAACCGCAGGGCUGCCUUCUAAACUGUCAGGCUUGAGCACAGUAGAGGCAGGUGGAAUUCCCGGUGUAGCGGUGGAAUGCGUAGAGAUCGGGAAGAACAUCAGUGGCGAAGGCGGCCUGCUGGGCUGUUGCUGACGCUGAGGCGCGACAGCGUGGGGAGCAAACAGG